rnacentral:rRNA from 1 species
UACAGAGGUCUCAAGCGUUGUUCGGAUUCAUUGGGCGUAAAGGGUGCGUAGGCGGCGCGGUAAGUCGGGUGUGAAAACUCGAGGCUUAACCUCGAGACGUCGAUGGAAACCGUAUGGCUAGAGUCCGGAAGAGGAGAGUGGAAUUCCUGGUGUAGCGGUGAAAUGCGCAGAUAUCAGGAAGAACACCCGUGGCGAAGGCGGCUCUCUGGGACGGUACUGACGCUGAGACGCGAAAGCGUGGGGAGCGAACAGG